rnacentral:rRNA from 1 species
AUGGACAGAGAAAGUGCAAAGCUUGUGGUGGAUGAUCAGGAGGAGGCGCAAGGAGAUCCAAUCUUGGCGGUGGUGGGAAAGGUUCUGAAUAGAAGGGUACUGCAUGUAAACACCAUCGAGGAGGCGUUGCGCCCUGCCUGGGGCAAUGUAAGGGGCUUGUCAUUCAGCUCAGUGGGGGACAAUAUGUUCUUGUCUAGUUUCGAAGGAAAGAGGGAAAGAGACAGAAUCUUUGAAGGUGGCCCGUGGAUGGUAGGCAAGCAUGCAGUGGUGCUAGAAAUCUUUGAUGUGAAAAACAGGCCAUCGGACUUGAAGUUCGAGAUGAUGCAAAUCUGGGCUAGGGUUAUCAACUUACCUUUCAAUCUGAGAUGUCACCCGUGGCCAGAAAGAAUCGCGAAACUGAUUGGGAAGGUCAUCAAGAUGGAUGUGGAUGCUAGGGGUUUUGCCUAUGGAGAAGCCCUUCGUGCAAGAGUGUGGAUCAAUGUCCAUGAACCGCUGAUGAGGUGGGUAAGGUUGGAAUCGGCAAGAACGAAGGAGGAUGUUUUUUAUGAAAUUCAAUAUGAAUCUCUGCCAUAUUUUUGUUUCUCGUGUGGAAGACUGGGGCAUGCAGAUCAGUACUGCCCGUCGCCUGCACGGAGAGAUGAUCAGGGAAAUCUCCCCUAUGGAGAGAACCUGAGAGUACCACUACGUAAUAAGAGAUGGAGCAACGUACCCGAGAGGGGUGGAUGGAAUCAGACUAGGAAUACUGCAGAAGAAGAGGAAGGAGAAGAUGAAGUUUUUGAGAAAGGAGAAGAAGUUACCUCCCCAAACAAAGCUACAAAGGGAAAGGUGCAAGGAGUGGUAUAUCACUUUAAUUCGAGAGGUGGCGGUGGAGGAGGACGUGGAGGCCCGACUCAUAGAGGGAGAGGUCAGGUGCAAGGAAGGAACCAAGUGUACCGGAGGGUGAACAUGGAUGGGCAGAGUGGAGUAGGGGGUCAGGUAAUAUGCCCCUUAUGCUUGUUGAUCAGGAGACUUUAG